CCUACGGGCGGCAGCAGUGAGGAAUAUUGGUCAAUGGACGAGAGUCUGAACCAGCCAAGUAGCGUGAAGGAUGACUGCCCUAUGGGUUGUAAACUUCUUUUAUAUGGGACUAAAAUGUUCCACGUGUGGGAUUUUGUAUGUACCAUAUGAAUAAGGAUCGGCUAACUCCGUGCCAGCAGCCGCGGUAAUACGGAGGAUCCGAGCGUUAUCCGGAUUUAUUGGGUUUAAAGGGAGCGUAGGUGGAUUGUUAAGUCAGUUGUGAAAGUUUGCGGCUCAACCGUAAAAUUGCAGUUGAAACUGGCAGUCUUGAGUACAGUAGAGGUGGGCGGAAUGCGUGGUGUAGCGGUGAAAUGCUUAGAUAUCACGAAGAACUCCGAUUGCGAAGGCAGUUCACUGGACUGCAACUGACACUGAGGCUCGAAAGUGUGGGUAUCAAACAGGAUUAGAUACCCCUGUAGUC
rnacentral:rRNA from 1 species